rnacentral:tRNA from 1 species
AUAUUAUUGAAAUAAAAUUUAUAAAGAUUUCUAAUCUUAAAAUUAAUAAUUAAUAAUUAUUAUUAUUUC